rnacentral:rRNA from 1 species
GAAACUACGCCUACAUGAAGCUGGAGUUACUAGUAAUCGCAGAUCAGAAUGCUGCGGUGAAUGCGUUCCCGGGUCUUGUACACACCGCCCGUCACACCACGGAAGUUGGGGGCGCCCGAAGCCACUUAGCUAACCCUUUUGGGAAGCGAGUGUCGAAGGUGAAAUCAAUAACUGGGGUGAAGUCGUAACAAGGUAAC